ACUAAAUCGCCGUGAAUACCACCUGAGUAGUAACAGUUUGCACUUUAAACUCAAAGAAUUUGGCGGCUCUUUACCCCAUUAGAGGAGCCUGCCCUGUAAUCGAUGAUCCACGAAAUCCCCAACCCGUGUUUAAAGCUUGUAUACCGCCGUUUAGAGUGGGCCCGGAGGCCUACUCCAAACUAAUUUAUUAAAUAAUUCAGGUCAAGGUGCAGCCAAUACCCGGGUAGAGGUGGGCUACAUUUAUUAAAUAUACGGAGUCAUGCAUGAAAAGUGUGAGGAAGCUGGAUUUAAAAGUAAAUUAGUUUAAAGAUUUGGCAGGGCACUGAA
rnacentral:rRNA from 1 species